rnacentral:rRNA from 1 species
GUCGAGUGCGCGCCUGUAGCAAUACAGGUGGCGCACGGCGCACGGGUGCGUAACACGUGGGUAAUCUGCCCUUCGAAGGGGAAUAACUCGCCGAAAGGCGAGCUAAUUCCGCAUAACAUUCCAAGAACUUUGGUUUUUGGACUCAAAGGCGUAAGUCGUCGGAGGAGGAGCCCGCGCACGAUUAGCUAGUUGGUAGGGUAACGGCCUACCAAGGCUAUGAUCGUUAGCUGGUCUGAGAGGAUGGCCAGCCACACUGGAACUGAGACACGGUCCAGACUCCUACGGGAGGCAGCAGUGGGGAAUCUUGCACAAUGGGCGAAAGCCUGAUGCAGCGACGCCGCGUGGGGGAUGAAGCUUCUCGGAGUGUAAACCCCUUUCGACCCGGACGAAUGCCCCGCAAGGGGACUGACGGUACGGGUAUAAGAAGCCCCGGCUAACUACGUGCCAGCAGCCGCGGUAAGACGUAGGGGGCCAGCGUUGCUCGGAAUUACUGGGUGUAAAGGGUUCGUAGGCGGUGUGGCAAGUCGGGAGUGAAAUCUCUGGGCUCAACCCAGAGUCUGCUUCCGAAACUGCUGUGCUUGAGUGUGGGAGAGGCGCGUGGAAUUGCAGGUGUAGCGGUGAAAUGCGUAGAUAUCUGCAGGAACACCCGUGGCGAAAGCGGCGCGCUGGACCACUACUGACGCUGAGGAACGAAAGCUAGGGGAGCAAACAGGAUUAGAUACCCUGGUAGUCCUAG